rnacentral:lncRNA from 1 species
CACCUUUCGCUCAGUCGGAUCUCUCUACGGUUGGUUUGCUUGAACUUGUCAAGCCGUAUAAAGGCGAGCAGGGUUAGCAGUCCUCGCUCCACAGAUUCGGCUUUAUAUGAUCCCUUUCUUUAAAUAGUGACUCCUUUACUCUAAUACUGUACUUAUGGCGCAAUCAGUGUUGCGAUAUCUGUCUGAAAGAGUUCGAUUCCCUGUUAUCAGUGUCUUGAUGUCCGCCCUAUAUCUAAUCUAUAUUUAUGCGUUUUUUGGCCUAAUUUUUGCUCUACUUUCUAUUCUAAAGCAAAUCGAUGAAAAUUACCUAAGGGUCUCUAAAUUUACGGGCUAAAAAAACGCCAGUCACUAUCUGAAUGACUAAACAAAUACCAGCUAU